AGUGAACGCUGGCGGUAGGCCUAACACAUGCAAGUCGAACGGCAGCACAGUAAGAGCUUGCUCUUACGGGUGGCGAGUGGCGGACGGGUGAGGAAUACAUCGGAAUCUACUUUUUCGUGGGGGAUAACGUAGGGAAACUUACGCUAAUACCGCAUACGACCUACGGGUGAGAGCAGGGGAUCUUCGGACCUUGCGCGAUUGAAUGAGCCGAUGUCGGAUUAGCUAGUUGGCGGGGUAAAGGCCCACCAAGGCGACGAUCCGUAGCUGGUCUGAGAGGAUGAUCAGCCACACUGGAACUGAGACACGGUCCAGACUCCGACGGGAGGCAGCAGUGGGGAAUAUUGGACAAUGGGCGAAAGCCUGAUCCAGCCAUACCGCGUGGGUGAAGAAGGCCUUCGGGUUGUAAAGCCCUUUUGUUGGGAAAGAAAAGCAGCAGGUUAAUACCCCGCUGUUCUGACGGUACCCAAAGAAUAAGCACCGGCUAACUUCGUG
rnacentral:rRNA from 1 species